GGGAAACGCGCGAAGCUGCAUCAGGAUGAAGGAGCGCUGGGAGCGAAUAAAGGGCGGCGUUGACGGAGACGCGCGUGCUCACGUCUAGAGGCAGCUCCACUCUAAGAGAAACCAGAACCAGAACUCUCUGCUUGUUGAGCCUGAUCUUCAUUCAGAGCCUGAGAUGGGUUCUCCUGAACCCGUCUGGGCCGAUGGCACCGUCACACACACAACCUGCUGUGUGGGUCACACUGGCUGGGACGUCUUUACUGGUGCAGGUCCUUGGAACCAGUCCAUGGACUGUGGACACUUUACUAGAGCUGCUUUUCUGUUUCAGUUAAUAAUAUUCUCAUUCUCUCACGCAGUGUUUUCCACGCUGCACAUUCAGGUUCGGGUUUUUCCAGGUGUAUUUACGGACACGUUCGGGUUCUCUCCGUUUCCCUCCAUCUGUUCGCGUCUUCUCCUCCACAAACUGUCAGAUCCCAGGAGGAUCCUCACCUACAGACCAGUGCUGUGUCCUUCACGGUUCCCUGCAGCCGCACACACACACACACACACACACACACACACACACACACACACACACACACACACACACACACACACACACACAGGACUUCCUGUCCCGUCUUAACCCGGUGAUGGGUUAUUUUACCUCAGGCCCAUUGUUCCUCUGGAGGUUUCUUCCGUAUCACCUCCACGCAGCCUCCCUCUCCCCCAGCAUCCAUCAUAUCACCCCCCCCCCCCCCCCCCCCUCCUCUCCCCUCUCUUAACUGUCUGUCUGUCUCAUUGUUUCACGCUCACCCUAUCUCACCUCCUGUCUCAUCCUCUCUCAUUCCAUCCCUCUUGCUCUAAAGCUCCUCCUGUUCUUUGCCUUUUACCUCAUCUCUGUCUUCUUUCACUUUGUCCCUUAACUUUCCUGCUGAAGCCCACACUCAGUGAUCUGUGUGCUGCAUUUGCUUUGGUUUUUGCUCACUGUCAUCGUUGAUGAUGGAUGAACGCGUCACCAUCUAAGCUGCUCACAUUGGCCACGCCCAUCAUGAUAUCACUUCCUGGUUUCAUCAAGGACCGUGACAAACACAUGGAGGCGAUAACUCCUAUAGAAGGUUAGCCUGGUUAGAUAGCUAGUUAGCUAGUUAUUUAGCUUAGCUGGUUUGCAUUAACUAUCCUGUUUGUUCACCACCAGUCUGUUGGUGUACUGGUUUUGGUUUGUUACUGGUUACACAUGUUUUGUUUGCAUCAUUACAUGUUAACAUGCCAACACGUUAGCGAUGCAUCGUCACCUGUGGUUCUGAUGCCGGGGGAGCGCUUAUGCAUUUUCAUGCACCAUCGCACUGCAUGUGUGGAGGCUGCACCGCCGCCAUCCUGCUUUUAACACUCUGCUGUUUGUCUUCAGCAAAAAUGACUUAAUGAUAAUAAUUACAGGCAAUGGCUUGAGUAACGCGAGGACACAAUUUAGUAAUUACAUGCCAGAGAUUAUUGAAUCAAUAGAGCAAAUUAAAUAAUUUGACGGCACAUUAGGAGCGGAUCAGUUAUUUAUUUUGCAGCGCUGUGGCUGAUCAGACUCUGUGCCAGGUAGAAUUGCAGCUUUUAGACACCAGAUGCAGGGAUGCUGUGUAAG
ensembl:lncRNA